AGUGAACGCUGGCGGUAGGCCUAACACAUGCAAGUCGAACGGCAGCACAGUAAGAGCUUGCUCUUACGGGUGGCGAGUGGCGGACGGGUGAGGAAUACAUCGGAAUCUACUUUUUCGUGGGGGAUAACGUAGGGAAACUUACGCUAAUACCGCAUACGACCUACGGGUGAAAGCAGGGGAUCUUCGGACCUUGCGCGAUUGAAUGAGCCGAUGUCGGAUUAGCUAGUUGGCGGGGUAAAGGCCCACCAAGGCGACGAUCCGUAGCUGGUCUGAGAGGAUGAUUAGGCACACUGGAACUGAGACACGGUCCAGACUCCUACGGGAGGCAGCAGUGGGGAAUAUUGGACAAUGGGCGCAAGCCUGAUCCAGCCAUACCGCGUGGGUGAAGAAGGCCUUCGGGUUGUAAAGCCCUUUUGUUGGGAAAGAAAAGCAGCAGGUUAAUACCCCGCUGUUCUGACGGUACCCAAAGAAUAAGCACCGGCUAACUUCGUG
rnacentral:rRNA from 1 species